GAGAGGUGUGAUGAUGUUUUAACCCAAUCAAUUCUGCAAAAUAUUGGAUGAUGAUUCCUAACAUGCACUACCAUCUGACCUCUC